rnacentral:tRNA from 7 species
UGUAGCUCAGGUGGUUAGAGCGCACCCCUGAUAAGGGUGAGGUCGGUGGUUCAAGUCCACUCAGGCCUACCA